CCUACGGGUGGCAGCAGUGGGGAAUAUUGGACAAUGGGGGGAACCCUGAUCCAGCCAUGCCGCGUGUGUGAAGAAGGCCCUCGGGUUGUAAAGCACUUUCAGUGAGGAAGAACGCCUGGUGGUUAAUACCCAUCAGGAAAGACAUCACUCACAGAAGAAGCACCGGCUAACUCCGUGCCAGCAGCCGCGGUAAUACGGAGGGUGCGAGCGUUAAUCGGAAUUACUGGGCGUAAAGCGCGCGUAGGUGGCUUGAUAAGCCGGUUGUGAAAGCCCCGGGCUCAACCUGGGAACGGCAUCCGGAACUGUCAAGCUAGAGUGCAGGAGAGGAAGGUAGAAUUCCCGGUGUAGCGGUGAAAUGCGUAGAGAUCGGGAGGAAUACCAGUGGCGAAGGCGGCCUUCUGGACUGACACUGACACUGAGGUGCGAAAGCGUGGGUAGCAAACAGGAUUAGAUACCCGAGUAUC
rnacentral:rRNA from 1 species